AGUCCCGCGAGAGCAGUGCUUGGUCGGGACCUCGAAGCCGGAGCCCGAGCGGGAGAGGCCGCGGAGACCCCGGCCCGGCGCAGGCAGAGACGCACCUGCGGGAGGCGGGCGCGCCGGCUGGAGAGGAGGCCGUGGGGCGGAGCGGCUCAGCGUUCUGCUCGGCUGCAGCGGCCCCUGCCGGAGACCCGGGCGCCGUGGUCUUCUUUAUAAUUGAAGGAUUGUCUCUCUGUUUUUAUUUGGGGUGGGGGUGGGGGUGGGGGGCGGCGCAGUGACUUGCUUCGACUUUGUCAGCUUCCAGGGUUCAUUCCACUGCCCAAAUAUGUAGUGAGUUACUACCGGCUUUGCUUCCUCCUUCAGCAAACGGCUGGACCACACAACUUCAGGAGAGAGGAUUUUAAAUGUUAGGGUCAUUUUCCCUAAAACGAUUUCAAAUGACGUCUCUUUAUCUAUAGGUAACCCAGCUUAAAACAACUGCGGUUGGCCCGGGAUCCUCACUGCCCUUUGCCAAGUACCAGAGAAAGAUAAGGCCUACUAGGAACCAGAGAAAACCAGAACCAGCCACCCCUUGUUACUUUUAGAUCAUUAAUACAUCAUUAUAUGCUCAACUCCCGACCCGUAGAAGAGAAUCGCCGCCAUUUUCUGAUAGUGCAUUGUAUGAAGAGGCAUGUUUAUGAAAUGCACCUGUGCGUCUAGAGUUCCUCCCGGCAUAUGCUUGCAUACCUCCCCACUCCACAUCUAACGCCUUACAAUUCCCCAGCUUCCCAAAGCUCUGGAAGAAGGGGGUCUUUAGAGUGAAAGUUUACUCCUUCUCUAUUCCUGGCCAGGAAUGAAACCCGCUUGCCGUUUUUUCCAGUUGGUGUGCUUUCUUUGCAACUGAUACAGACUAGGAAAAGAACGCAAUUUACCAGUAACAGUAGAGCUGGGAUUUAAAUCUAAGUGCUUUGACUUCAAAGACAAGGUUCCAAGCUGCUACACAUACCAAUUCUCGUUAAAGUGUAUUCCAUUUCUUUUGUGCUUUCAUAUUGACCAUUGUGUGUUAAUCCUUUCAAUUGGAAGAAGAGGGAGACAGUGCCAGUUAUUGCAAACUUUCACAGUCCACAGGCCCGAUAUGUAGCCUUCACCACCCACAGGUUCUGCCACUUCUGGGGCAUUAUAUUCCAUCAAGAUCCAGGCACCCGCCAUCCACAUACCAGCCCUGGAACUCGUCCCUUCUCCCAGACUUGGAAACGCCACCUCUCCCUGACCAAUGUCGAGCCACUUCCUCAUCUUGAUACAUCAGCCACUAUCCUUUCCAUCUUUCAGGCAACUCCAGCUUAAUUUCUCGAUGGCCUUGCCCUUCUAAAAGGCCGUUCUCUUUUCCCAGAUGACUUUUUCCUAUCCCCUCCACAGUAACUCCCCUCAUCCUUCCAGUCUCAAUUCAAUUGUUCCUUGGUGGGGUGGGGCGGGGGGAGCCUUCUUAAACCCUCCUCCCUCACAACUGCAUGAGGUCCCUUGUCUCUAAUAUAAGCUCCUGUAGCACCAUGGCACUUAUCCCAGUUGAGAUUUUAAAUAUAUUUCUGUGUAUUUGAUUAAAGUUUCUCUCCUCCACCAGGCUGUGAAGGUGGCUUCUUGUUUUGUUUUGCUCCCCGUGGUAUUCCCAGCACCUCAGGAUCCCUUAUAGUAGAUGCUGAAUUAGUAAAUACAUAUUAAAUAAAUGAAUGAACAAUCUCACAGGAAAAGCAGCCUCAAACUCAGAGGAUAAUGGCUUGGGCUAUCUUUACUAAAAUUUAAGAGGCGAAUGACCUUUUCUUUCUGCUUAUGAGUCUGUCUGUAGCAGCACAAAAUAAAAAAUAAACAAGCAAGAUAGAGUUCAUUGAUAACUCAUCCUAUUUACAGAGGUUUUCCUGGGACAUGUGGGUAGGUGACAGAAAAGUUUAGAAGCACAUACACUGGAAAAUAAUUUUGCCUAUUUCCUUUGGUGAGAUUCAGACAUGUCAAGCUUUAACUCUGGAAAGAAAAUCUCUCUCCAUCCUGAGUUUUACAUCCUCUUGGGAUCUCUCACUUUAUUGGUUAUCACUGCUGUCUCUCAGGGGUGAACUGUCCUCUUUAAGCUUCUGGUGCAAAUAUAAAUAUGGAAAUAAAUGCCUAGGGAUUUAUUUCCUAGAAUGACCCUACCCUGAGUUGGAGCAUCACACACAGCACCAUGAGUUGUGACGCUAACCUCCAUCAGCUGGUCAGUGCAUCUGCGUGUAACAUGUAGCCAUAGCAUUUUCCCAACCCUGCUACACACAGUAACAGUGCACACAGCACAUCUUAAGAAAUAAAAUUGACAUGAAUAACUGAGAGGUGGCAGACAGGAAAAUGGGGAUUGCAGGUGUUUGCAUGCUCUGCAGUGAGGAAAGCUAGGUUGUCAGGACAAGUCUGCAACAGAAGGCAGUCUCGGGCCACGAGAACAACACACUGUCUUUCGAUGGCUGGAUGGUUGGAUGACGAGCCCAUAUUCUUUUAUUUUCUUUCUUUUUUUUUUUUUUGAGACAGAGUCUUGCUCUGUUGCCAGGCUGGAGUGCAGUGGCGUAAUCUUGGUUCACUGCAACCUCUGCCUCCCGGAUUCAAGCAAUUCUCCUGCCUCAGCCUCCCGAGUAGCUGGGACUACAGGCGCCUGCCACCAUGCCCAACUAAUGUUUUUGUAUUUUUAGUAGAGACGGGGUUUCACCAUGUUGGCCAGCCUGGUUUCGAACUCCUGACCUCAGGUGAUCUGCUUGCCUCGGCCUCUCAAAGUGCUACGAUUACAGGCGUGAGCCACCCCUGACCAACCAAUUAGCCCCUUUUUUUUUUUUUUUUUUUAAACAGAGUCUUGCUCUGUCACCAGGCUGGAGUGCCGUGGUAUAAUCUCGGGUCACUGCAACCUCUACCUCCCAGGUUCAAGCGAUUCUUCUGUCUCAGCCUCCCGAGUAGCUGGGACUACAGGCGCUUGCCACCAUGCCCAGCUAAUGUUUUUGUAUUUUUAGUGGAGACAGGGUUUCACCAUGUCAGCCAGUCUGGUUUCGAACACCUGACCUCAAGUGAUCAGCUUGCCUCGGCCUCUCAAAGUGAUAGGAUUACAGAUGUGAGCCACCACACCCAGCCAAUGAGCCCAUAUUCUUUUACUCUUUUCUUUUCUUUUUUUUUUUUUUUUUUGAGACGGAGUUUCGCUCUUGUUGCCCAGGCUGGAGUGCAAUGGCACGAUCUUGGCUCACUGCAACCUCCACCUCCUGGGUUCAAGCGAUUCUCCUGCCUCAGCCUCCCGAGUAGCUGGGACUACAGUGCCACCACGCCCAGCUAAUUUUUGUAUUUUUAGCAGAGACGGGGUUUCACCACGUUGACCAGGGUGGUCUCGAUCUCUUGACCUCGUGAUCCACCCGCCUCAGCCUCCCAAAGUGCUGGGAUUACAGGCGUGAGCCACCACGCCCGGCUGAAAUUUCUGUUCUUUAUAAGUUACUGUUCUUUAUAAGUUACCCAGUCUGUGGUAUUCUGUGACAGCAGCACAAAUGGACUAAGACAAUACCCCAAUCCAUCUCCAAUGAGGUGUCCAAGUUCUCCACUCUCCCAAUGUUUACCAUUGGAUGGAAAGUUGUCCAUAGUUAUUGGGUGGGGGUAGGAGGGAGUUUAGUGGGGAAGGUCCAUGCUUGAGGACCUCUUUGUCUCUGAUACCUUUCCACCCUGGUCCUUGGUCUCUACAAUAGUUCAAGGAUGAGGAUCAAAGUCCUAGCAGUUUCCAAAUGC
rnacentral:lncRNA from 10 species